ACACAUCCGAUGACACUCCAACUCAAUGUUUCUCACUAAAAUCACUGGUGUCCAAACCAGGAAAUGAGGUCACUCAAAGCCAACCGGACAACAAAUCACUGGUGUCUAAACCCACCUAUCAGGUCACUCAAAGCCAACCGGACAACAAAUCACUGGUGUCUAAACCAGGAAAUGAGGUCACUCAAAGCGAACCCGACAACAAAUCACUGGUGUCUAAACCCACCUAUCAGGUCACUCAAAGCCAACCGGACAACAAAUCACUGGUGUCUAAAACCAGGAAAUGAGGUCACUCAAAGCCAACCCGACAACAAAUCACUGGUGUCUAAACCCACCUAUCAGGUCACUCAAAGCCAACCGGACAACAAAUCACUGGUGUCUAAAACCAGGAAAUGAGGUCACUCAAAGCCAACCGGACAACAAAUCACUGGUGCCCGAAAAAGGAAAUGAGGUCACUUAAAGCCAACCCGACACACCAUUUUGUUAUUACAUUUUGCCAGGGAUGCCCGCCUCCCCUUUAAAUACGGUAGUUUGGUAAAUG